rnacentral:misc_RNA from 1 species
AAGACUAUAGACCUGCGGAGUACCUGCGGAAGGAUCAUUACAGAGUUCAUGCCCUCACGGGUAGAUCUCCCACCCUUGAAAUACUAUACCUUUGUUGCUUUGGCGGGCCGCUUUGGCUACUGGCUCUGGCUAGUAAGAGCCCGCCAAAGAACCCCAAAACUCUGAAUAUUAGUGUCGUCUGAGUACUAUAUAAUAGUUAAAACUUUUAGCAAUGGAUCUCU